rnacentral:rRNA from 1 species
CCUACGGGUGGCAGCAGUGAGGAAUAUUGGUCAAUGGACGAGAGUCUGAACCAGCCAAGUAGCGUGAAGGAUGACUGCCCUAUGGGUUGUAAACUUCUUUUAUCUGGGAAUAAAAUGUUCCACGUGUGGGAGUUUGUAUGUACCAUAUGAAUAAGGAUCGGCUAACUCCGUGCCAGCAGCCGCGGUAAUACGGAGGAUCCGAGCGUUAUCCGGAUUUAUUGGGUUUAAAGGGAGCGUAGGUGGAUUGUUAAGUCAGUUGUGAAAGCUUGCGGCUAAACCGGAGAAUUGCAGUUGAAACUGGCAGUCUGGAGUACAGUAGAGGUGGGCGGAAUACGUGGUGUAGCGGUGAAAUGCUUAGAUAUCACGAAGAACGCCGAUUGCGAAGGCAGUUCACGGGACUGCAACUGACACUGAGGCUCGAAAGUGUGGGUAUCAAACAGGAUUAGAUACCCCAGUAGUC